rnacentral:rRNA from 1 species
UACGUAGGGAGCAAGCGUUAUCCGGAAUCAUUGGGCGUAAAGCGCGCGUAGGUGGCCAUUUAAGUCCGCUGUGAAAGUCAAAGGCUCAACCUUUGAAAGCCGGUGGAUACUGGGUGGCUAGAGUACGGAAGAGGCGAGUGGAAUUCCUGGUGUAGCGGUGGAAUGCGCAGAUAUCAGGAGGAACACCAAUAGCGAAGGCAGCUCGCUGGGACGUUACUGACACUGAGGCGCGAAAGCGUGGGGAGCGAACAGG